rnacentral:rRNA from 1 species
UACAGAGGGUGCGAGCGUUAAUCGGAAUUACUGGGCGUAAAGCGUGCGUAGACGGUAGCGUAAGUCAGAUGUGAAAGCCCCGGGCUCAACCUGGGAACUGCAUUUGAGACUGCUCUGCUCGGGUGCGGAAGAGGGAAGCGGAAUUUCCGGUGUAGCGGUGAAAUGCGUAGAUAUCGGAAGGAACACCAGUGGCGAAAGCGGCUCCCUGGUCCGACACCGACGUUCAGGCACGAAAGCGUGGGGAGCAAACAGG